GCUGCAAAACCUUUCUUAAAGUUCUGUAA
rnacentral:piRNA from 1 species